rnacentral:rRNA from 1 species
CGCCUCACCGCGUGCACUGGUCCGGCCGGGCCUUUCCUCCUGGGGAGCCGCAUGCCCUUCACUGGGUGUGUCGGGGAACCAGGACUUUUACUUUGAAAAAAUUAGAGUGUUCAAAGCAGGCCUAUGCUCGAAUACAUUAGCAUGGAAUAAUAGAAUAGGACGUGUGGUUCUAUUUUGUUGAUUUCUAGGACCGCCGUAAUGAUUAAUAGGGAUAGUCGGGGGCAUCAGUAUUCAAUUGU